rnacentral:tRNA from 1 species
UGUAUUCUAUAUUUUCACAAAUUAGGAUCUUGCUAAUAAUCUAGAUUCAUAUCCAAAUCCUUAAAUAGAAAAUCUAAGGAAAAG